UGUGAGCUCGAUGAGUAGGGCGGGACACGUGAUAUCCUGUCUGAAUAUGGGGGGACCAUCCUCCAAGGCUAAAUACUCCUGACUGACCGAUAGUGAACCAGUACCGUGAGGGAAAGGCGAAAAGAACCCCGGCGAGGGGAGUGAAAAAGAACCUGAAACCGUGUACGUACAAGCAGUGGGAGCACCCUUUGGGGUGUGACUGCGUACCUUUUGUAUAAUGGGUCAGCGACUUAUAUUCUGUAGCAAGGUUAACCGUAUAGGGGAGCCGUAGGGAAACCGAGUCUUAACCGGGCGUUAAGUUGCAGGGUAUAGACCCGAAACCCGGUGAUCUAGCCAUGGGCAGGUUGAAGGUUGGGUAACACUAACUGGAGGACCGAACCGACUAAUGUUGAAAAAUUAGCGGAUGACCUGUGGCUGGGGGUGAAAGGCCAAUCAAACCGGGAGAUAGCUGGUUCUCCCCGAAAGCUAUUUAGGUAGCGCCUCGUGAAUUCAUCUCCGGGGGUAGAGCACUGUUUCGGCUAGGGGGCCAUCCCGGCUUACCAACCCGAUGCAAACUGCGAAUACCGGAGAAUGUUAUCACGGGAGACACACGGCGGGUGCUAACGUCCGUCGUGAAGAGGGAAACAACCCAGACCGCCAGCUAAGGUCCCAAAGUCAUGGUUAAGUGGGAAACGAUGUGGGAAGGCCCAGACAGCCAGGAUGUUGGCUUAGAAGCAGCCAUCAUUUAAAGAAAGCGUAAUAGCUCACUGGUCGAGUCGGCCUGCGCGGAAGAUGUAACGGGGCUAAACCAUGCACCGAAGCUGCGGCAGCGACACUCAGGUGUUGUUGGGUAGGGGAGCGUUCUGUAAGCCUGUGAAGGUGUGUCGUGAGGCAUGCUGGAGGUAUCAGAAGUGCGAAUGCUGACAUAAGUAACGAUAAAGCGGGUGAAAAGCCCGCUCGCCGGAAGACCAA
rnacentral:rRNA from 1 species